CCUAAAUCCCUCAAUUGCCUCAUGUUUUCCUUCACGAACCCUAAUCUCGGUCACCGCUGAUCAAGAAAACCCUAGCUGUGCUUACGCAUCUUCUUCAUCAAACAUCAAAUCCCCAGAUCAAGCCGCUACAAUUGUUUCUUCAAUGAUCCAGCCACUAUAAUCAAUCUGAUGAUCGAUUGACUGGACUACAAGUUUUCAAACGGAUUGGGAACGACACACAUGAUUUGGGGUUUUAGGUUUCAAUCCAGUCCUUAUAAUUUCUUCUCAGAAUCUCUUUAAUCCUUGCAUCAUUUUUAAGUAUUCAUAUGCUUGCCUGUUACUUGCGAGGAGAAAGGUUGAUGUAGAUAUUGUGCAAAUUAAGUCCGGCAUAUAAGAACAAGAAUCGGGCCAAGCAUACAUAUGUCCUCGCUUUCGAGCGAGUCCGGAAUCUUAUCAGCACACAAUAUGCAGGUUCCUUUGCAAAAAGAGUUUAAAUGUACUAUAAGAAAUUCCCCGGAGCUCAUGAAACUGGUUGAGGAGUUCUAUCGCGCAUACCGUGCAUUAGCUGAAAGGUAUGAUUUUGCCACCAAUGAGCUCUACCAUGCUUAGAAAACUUUACAAGCAGCUUUCCCGGAUCAUGAGGUAUUUGAGUUUUUCGAGUCUUCAAACCAAGCACUGUAUUUUCGGAUUUUUCGUCAUGAAUUAUGUAAGUAUCUAUGUUUGCAAACAAGUAGUUUAGCUGUAAUUAGAAAUCGGUGUAACUUUCCAAAUAAAUGUGUCAGACAACGGGUCAAAACAGAAUCUUUUUGUGCGGGUUGUUCUUAACUUUUUUUUUAAUAAAUAAUGGGUGUGUAAAAUAGGAUUACCAAAUAUUUGGUUUUAAAAUAAUAGUUUUGAGUCUAUAUUAGUAUUAUUUUAAAGUAUGUUUUCAUCGAGUUAAGAUUACCAAUCGCUAUGACUAUGACUAAAUACCAGAUCAAAUCUCAUGCAAAACAUUCAAUAUUAGUACAGGGAAUAACUCUAAGGCCAAGUCUUAUUAGAGUUUUCUCUUCUAAGUACAUGAUUUAUGGUUCAUUGGCUUGACAAAGUAAUUGCAAGGUAUGUUCUUUUUAAAAAUAGAUUAUUGAAAUCUUAAUUUUAUUUAGUGGUUAAUUGAGAUUACUGUUAUUGGAAUAAUGAUUCACAUUAUUUUUACCUAAGGGAGUUGGAAUAAUGAACCACAUUAUCAUGGUUUUGGUUCCCGUCGUGUCUACGGGCGGGUGGGUUACCGGGUUUUUCCCGGAAUUGGUGGUGGACUCGGAUUACUAUAGGAGUACUCCGUUUGGUCUAGUGGGUGCCCUGACAGUGCUCGGGAUUAAUUGUGUUAGCCGUUCAAAAAAAAUCCUUGACUUUUAAACCAUUUGACCCAUUUACACUUUUCAUGUAAAUAAAUGGGUUGAAAAUUUCCGCAACUUAAUUAUUAUAUACGUUAUUAUAUCUUUUGGUUUGUAUUUGUCUUUAUAUCUUUUUUAUUAGCAUCAUGCCUUCAUUAAUGCCUAUAUAUUUUUUUUUCUUACACUAUUUGACAAAGCUUGGUGAAUCAAUCUCUAAUGAAGGAAGAUUUCAUUAUGGUUCACUGCAGCACGCAUGCAGUCAUUCUUGUGAUAUGUGGAAAUAAAUUUAGCAUGCUUAUUGUGAUUACGGCUUUCAUAGAAGGUGUUAUAAAUUUUAACAAAGAGUUGAGGACAGGGAAAGACAUCAUGUCAAUCACAGGGAAAAACAUCAUUAGUUUCUCAUAAUUCAGGUUUCCAUUCCAAUGAUCAUAAUCAGAUCAUGAUUGUGUUUUAAAAUAAUAACAAAAUUUGCAGGUUGAAAUCAUAGAUUUACCGGUACAUAUAAAAGAUAAAGACGAUAUUCUGGAAAGCGUGAGCAAGGUGAUAUGAGCUCUUAUUCCAUCUUCAAUGAAGAUUUUAGAGAACUCCCUUGGACUUUCAAUGCAAAGCGAGUCGAUAGAGAUAUCCGAGCAGGCUGGUUUUGAGGAUAUUAAGGACACAAACUUAGAUGAAGUAGAGGCGCAUGAUCUUGUCUUGGAAUCCAGUAAGGGGAAGAUGAACGUUCGUUCAUGGACGAAUUAUGAAGAUGAUUAUGAUGACUACGAUGAAGACAAGGAUCUUGAAGAUGAGGAUGAAUGAUUCUGAAUUUUUGAUUGUUAGUCAUGAGGUUUUCCACCCCGUGUUAGUCAUGUGAAUUAUCACUGUUAUCAAACCCGUCUUUAAUCCAAGAAAUUUCAUGGCUAUUUCAAAUAUACACACCCUUUAUUCCA